GACGAACGCUGGCGGCGUGCUUAACACAUGCAAGUCGAACGGAAAGGCCCUGCUUUUGUGGGGUGCUCGAGUGGCGAACGGGUGAGUAACACGUGAGUAACCUGCCCUUGACUUUGGGAUAACUUCAGGAAACUGGGGCUAAUACCGGAUAGGAGCUCCUGCUGCAUGGUGGGGGUUGGAAAGUUUCGGCGGUUGGGGAUGGACUCGCGGCUUAUCAGCUUGUUGGUGGGGUAGUGGCUUACCAAGGCUUUGACGGGUAGCCGGCCUGAGAGGGUGACCGGCCCAAUGGGGACUGGGAUAGGGCCCAGACCCCUACGGGGGGAAGCAGGGGGGAAAAUUGCACAAGGGGGGGAAGCCUGAUGGAGCAACGCCGGGGGGGGGAGGAGGGCCUUCGGGUUGGAAACCGCUUUCCCCUGUGACGAAGGGUGGGUGACGGUAAUGGGGAAAGAAGCACCGGCAAACUACGU
rnacentral:rRNA from 1 species